CCACUGCAGCCCCUUCCCUGGAGCCUGGCGGACCCAGUUCAUGCUGGAACUACUGAAGGUGAAUCCAGAGGCUACACCAGUGAGUCUCAGGGACACCCCAGGCUUCACCAUGUCUCCCCCAGACUCCACCAGCCGCACUGUCUCUCAUACAUAUCUC